UGCCGCCACGACAGGCACCAACCACCUUACGGCCACAACUCAGAUUGGCCGCCUCAACAAUAGAGGCACGGAACAUGGUCCACUCGGACUCAAUGUCCCCCGUCUCCCCCGGAACAUGGGAAAAGCUCUGUCGGAGGUGGGAGUUGAAACUCCUUCUGACAGGGGAUUCCGCCAGACGCUCCCAACAAACCCUCACUAUACGUUUGGGUCUGCCAGGACGGACCGGCAUCUUCCCCCACCAUCGGAGCCUACUCACCACCAGGUGGUGAUCAGUUGACAGCUCCGCCCCUCUCUUCACCCGAGUGUCCAGAACAUGCGGCCGCAAAUCCGAUGAUACAACUACAAAGUCGAUCAUCGAACUGCGGCCUAGGGUGUCCUGGUGCCAAGUGCACAUAUGGACACCCUUAUGUUUGAACAAGGUGUUCGUUAUGGACAAUCCGUGGCGAGCACAGAAGUCCAACAACAAAACACCACUCGGGUUUUGAUCGGGGGGGCCGUUCCUCCCAAUCACGCCCCUCCAGGUAUCACUGUCAUUGCCCACGUGAGCAUUGAAGUCCCCCAGCAGAACAAUGGAGUCCCCAGCAGGAGUACUCUCCAGCACACCCUCCAAGGACUCCAAAAAGGGUGGGUAUGCUGAGCUGCUGUUUGGUGCAUAUGCACAAACAACAGUCAGGACCCGUCCACCCACCCGAAGGCGGAGGGAGGCAACCCUCUCGUCUACCGGUGUGAACCCCAAUGUACAGGCACUGAGCCGGGGGGCAAUGAGUAUGCCCACACCUGCUCUGCGCCUCUCACCGUGAGCAACUCCAGAGUGGAAGAGAGUCCAACCCCUCUCGAGAGAACUGGUACCAGAACCCAGGCUGUGUGUGGAGGCAAGUCCGACUAUAUCCAGUCGGAAAUUCUCUGCCUCACACACCAGCUCGGGCUCCUUCCCUGCCAGAGAGGUGACAUUCCAUGUCCCAAGAGCUAGCUUCUGCAGCCGAGGAUCGGACCGCCAGGGUCCCCGCCUUUGGCUGCCGCCCAGCUCGCAUUGCACCCGACCCCUUUGGCCCCUCUCAUGGGUGGUGAGCCCAUGGGAAGGGGGACCCACGUUGCCUCUUCGGGCUGUGCCCGGCCGGGCCCCAUGGGUGUAAGCCCGGCCACCAGGCGCCUGCCAACGAGCCCCACCUCCAGGCCUGGCUCCAGAGGGGGGCCCCGGUGACCCGCGUCCGGGCAAGGGAAACCUAGAUCCAUUUAUUUUUGUCGUCAUUGGGGUCUUUUGAGCCGUGCUUUGUCUGGCCCCUCACCUAAAUCCAAUUCCUGAUUAUUAAAGUAAUGUAACCUGAUAACUUGUAAUUACUUUUGGAUUACUAUAAUACCAAAGGUGAUUAUGAAGUCCACAACUAUGUCAAUCACUAUUUAUUUGCACUUUUGGGUUUUAUGACUACUUAAUAAUACACAUGGUUUGGGGGCACCCAAAUUCCAAAUUUUAAAUCUCAGAAUUUUUAGGCAGUCAGGGUAAGCACUUGUUCACGCUCCUGCGGAUGGAUGGACGGAGGGACGGACUAACAGACAGAGAGAAGGCCGCAUGAAACAAUUGCUUUGUUGCUGUGGUAUAUGGUUUUUGCUGCUUCGCUGGUCUUCAAAAAACACUCGGUGAUCGGUGGCUGUUUCCCGACGAAUGAGCACUUCAGGGACCACGGCUGAUUGGGAAAAGAUUUUAUUCAACCAAUGUCAGAGUGAAGUCUUUCCAAAAAGUUGAGUGGCCCAAGGCAUGGAUGUAAAAAAGCCCCCCAACCCCUGUCAGGCCCGUAUCUUUUAUACCUGGCACGGAGCUGAUGUCAUGGCUUUGUGCACCAGCUGCGGUUUUCAAUCUACUAGUUUACUUCAGUCCUAAAAAGGAGAUCUUGACCAGCGCUGUUGGUGAUGGACGACAACAGCCACUUUACCUUAUUAUAGGAUUGCACACAUUGCUGAAACUGAAUUCUCCCUGACCAGCAAAUAUAGAAUAGAAUCGUGUCACUGACGCCAGGUGGACAUUCUAAGGCCACCUACAGGAAUAGAGAGGGAAUUCCAAAUUACACUUCAUUGCAUUACGUAACUUGUUUUCGAACUGUCCAUGAAGGCAACACCACACAGGGAUACUGUAUUCAAACCGUAAGGAAACGUACAUUUGAUUCCUCCAUGGAGUAGUUCCAUAAUGAGUGGAAUGGAAAAAUCUUUUGAAGGUAAUAUCUGCAGCGGUAUCUAAAAACUCACUCCCCACUCCCCCGUCACACAUGUGCGCGUAAACCAGGGCUUCUCAAAUAGUGGGGCGCCCCCCCCCCCCCCGCCCCCCGGAAGCUUUGUCCAGGGGGGCGCGUUUGACCUCGGGGAACAUGCUUUUUAAUUUUUUUUAUUUCAAUUUUUUUACUGUCCUAAAGUGCAGUUGCACCUCCACUACAUUAGGAGGCAGUGGCACUCUCAUUGGCAGAGUGUGCACAGGGAGCAUUCGAAGGGAGGAAAUAUGACGAAGCGUAUGUAGCACUUGGCUUCACUGUGACUACGGUGGGAGACUGUCACAGACCGGUGUGUUUACUGUGUCAUAAAAUGUUGGCAGCGGACAGCAUGAAGCCAAAUAAAUUAAGGCACCACUUAAAGACAUUACACCCCAAUUACGCUGAUAAGUCGCUUUAGAUUUUUCAGCGAGAACGUGCCGAAUAUUGCCAACAAUCAACCUGCUUUGUGACUGCUACUUCAGUAAACUACAAUACAGGUCCCAGUUACACAUUGAGCAAGAGCUGAGAGUCGCUGUGUCUUGCUUCAAACCUUGCUUCGAAAAGCUCUGCAUUGCAAAACGCGCUUAUUGUAGCCAUUAAUCCAGACAUCAUCUUUGAUUUAAAAAAAAAUCAGCACAAGUUAUUUUAGGUAUUUUUGUUUUGCAGGUUGCACAUUCCAAAAAUAUGCAUGGCAGGCUGAUUGAACACUCUAAAUUGUCCCUAGGUGUGAGUGUGAGCGUGGAUGGUUGUUCGUCUAUGUGUGCCCUGCGAUUGGCUGGCAACCGAUUCAGGGUGUCCCCCGCCUACUGCCCGAAGACAGCUGGGAUAGGCUCCAGCACCCCCGCGACCCUAGUGAGGAUCAAGCGGCUCGGAAAAUGAAUGAAUGAAUGAAAAGGUUGCAAGUUUUUUUUAAUAUUAUGCUCCUGACUUAAUGUUGGCGAUCAGUUUGCAUUAUUUAUUGACUUUAUGUAAUUUUAUUUUUCAGUAUUGUAUGGUCAGUCAAAAAAUGUUUACAGUUUAAUUAAGGAUUUUGUUUUAUUUUUGAAUUUCAGAUGGACUUUAAAUCUUUUCUGUUACAGUUAAUAAAGCUAAGUUAGUCCAUAUUUCUUUCUUUUCGUUAAUAAGAAUACAGUGUUAUGCAGAGGUGUACUUAUACGAAUUUUAUAGACAAAUUAUACUAUUUAUAGUUGUGCAGGGUUAGGGGGGCUUCUUCCUGGGGCAUGACAGAAAAUAAUUGAGAAGCACUGGCGUGAACGCAUGUAAGCACAUUGAGUAAUGAUAUGCGAUGACCAUCCAUGAUGUGACAGUGAAGUAUCCUGUUUAUUUUCCGUGCCAAGUUUAGCUGUGUUUAUUGUUAAGAUGGUUUUAAAUCAGGGGUGCCCAAACUUUUUGGACCGAAGAUCGACUUUUCAAUCAACCAACCUCCCGGGAUCGCCCCUUACUGCGCACGCGCACACGCUAUGACGAGAAACAGUCUGACACGGAGGCAUGCGAUACUCUUUUGCAGCAUAGCUCACACGUACCGUUUUAAAGUGCUUCCCUGGCCCCACUAGAUUCCUAUUUGUUGCCCGUGCCUUCGGUGAGUUCUACACCAAGCAAACUCUGAAUGAGAAUAAUGACGAUCAAAGAUAUAGCGCAACAGCUCUGAUCAUAAGCUGCAAUUUUGACUGCUGAGCGCUAACAACUUCCGCAGACGUAGGUCACGCGCCACCGUAGGCUAAAUAUUUACCUGCUUUAUUUUAUUUUAUUGUAUUCUAUUUUAUUUUUUCAAUAUAUUUUUGUGAAAAUGAGACUGAAGGAUGAUUAGGGUGCAGUGUACAUUAACACAAAAAAACUGUAUAUGACUAACAUGUACAAAGACACACAAAUGGUUGUUUUUUUUUCCUCCUCUUUCCACCCCUCAGAUCUACUUAGGACCAGUCCUAGUUCUACCGGUCGAUCAAGAUUGACGUAAUGGGCACCCCUGUUUUAAAUAAUAAAUCGGUUGGUGAUUUGUGACGCAAAGUGAAAUUUAUGUUCGGAGGAGUGGGCUCGCAGCUAGCAGGUAGCUCCAUUGUAGCAGCUGACGCUGUGGGCCUCUUUUCAAGACAUUGAAAGACAGUCUUUCAAUGUCUUGGAGCAAUACGUAUUAAGGAAAUACAUUCUCUUGUUGCGCUCGAAUGAAGAAACCUGGCUAUGGCCUCUGUGUCUGCAUUGAAGAUGCAAUCCUAAAAAAAGAAUCCCAAUUUUUCAUAAAUGUAUCGGUUAUGUGAUUACCGUAAUUUCCGGACUAUAGAGCGUACCUGAUUAUAAGCCGCAACCACUACAUUUUUGAAGGAAAAAACAUUUUGUACACACACAAGCCGUACCUGUCUAAAAACCGCAGUUGCCCAUAUUGUAACAUGAGAUAUUUGCAAAGAAAAAGGGUACACAGAAAGAGGUUUCAACGUUUAAUAACUUAACUUUAACUUGUCUUUCUAAAUAGUACCUGUAAAGCACGACGGCAGUAAAACAGCACUCACACGUCUGGUUUAAAAAAAAAAAGGCACUGUUCCCUGUCGAGUAAUGCUUUGUUUUAAAAUGAAAAAAAUCCUCGCUUGCCAUUACACCCGGUCAACCAUUCCUUCAUUAGGCGUUCUACCAUCCACGCUUUCGUGUCAACUUUCAGGACAAUCUCUUUCGGAAGGUUUUCUUUUGGCAUAAUGUAAGCUAGUGAACAACACUUUGGCUGUUGUUGUGACGUCUUCAUGUAUGUUUGAGCUCGCUGCAAACAUUUCUCCAUUUGAGGCUUGUUGGGGAGGCCGAAAUGCAGAUUUAUGCUAAGGUUAUAAUUUGCAACGGUGCGUUUGUGGUGCCAUAUGAUACAUACACCAAGAAGAGGGCGGGUGACGAGGGCUCAUUGAAGAUUCCACCAUGCACCCUCCGAAUGUACUGUAGAUGUUGAGGUGAUGGAGCCGUGCGCUUAAUGGCAGCCACCUCUUUUCGCUGCUCCCACCCCCUCCCUUGCAUCUUCUGGCUGACUGGCUGGCUGGCUGGCUGCCAUUGCGACCGUCUUCCUUGGCCUGCUGCUGCCGCCACAGUUGCCGCCUGCCUGCCUGCUUCACUCACUCGCCAUUUUACCCGGCACCCCGUUAUGAAAUUUUCAGCAGCUUUGCAGCACUUAAGUCAUGCGCUACAGAGUGGGGAGAAGACUUGAUACAUACAUGGCAGCUGUGUGUGUGUGUGUGUGUGUGUGUGUGUGUGUGUGUGUGUGUGUGUGUGUGUGUGUGUGUGCGUGUGUGUGUGUGUGUGUGUUUGUGUUUACACGAGAUGUGCAUGUGUGCCUGUGCUUGGUUGUGUGAGUGUGAGAGACAGUGAGUGAAGGACAUGAACCCAUUUAGUUUUGCUUCAUUUGUUUUUCAAAAUAAAAUAGGAAUUAAAAAAAAACUAAAACAUGACUUGUUUUGUCAAAAUUACUCCAAAAACCAAAAUGAAAAAAACACAAAUUACUCAUUUUCUGAUUUUCGAUUGUGUCUGCUAAUGGAAAAUGGAAAAAACAACAACAGAUGAAUAGCGAUUGCAUAUGUUGUCCAAUGUCUUAAAGCCUCCUCCGUAGACAAGUGUCGUUUUGUGUUUUGUGUUUUUUGGUACAUUUUUCUUCGACCCAAUUAUUGAGGGUAUUGAUGCUAGAUUUAGGAUUUCUGUAUCGGCAGCUGACACGUUUUUUUUUCCUCCAUUCAAUUUUGUUUUCAUUCAAUUCAAUUUGAACACAUUCUCGAAUGUUAUGUAUGACUGUUGAUCUGUCGUCAACAACAGGGGUGCCCAACCUUUUUGACCCAAGAUCUACCUUUCAAGCAACCAACCAACCUCCCGCAAUUGACGUGCUCAGAUACACGGAUACACGCACGCACACACAUAUGGCAUGAUGAGCAACAGCCGUAACGGCCCCUAACAUGAUAGAGACAGAAAAUGAAAUAAAUACAAGAGUUUAUGAAAAGGAAAUCACUGCCUACCUUAGUAGAGGCCGGACGGGGCGGCAUGGCACACGCUUUUGCAGCGUGUUGAGUGCAGGAACAUCGCUCUCGCUAUCUUAACUCAUGUGUCCCGUUUUAAUAAAUGCGCACAAACACAUCUUUGCACACACAAACACACUUGCUAUGGGUCGAUUGUGGUCAAUUAGUUGGGCACAACCUUGUGGGUGAGAUUUUUUUUACCGAACAACAGUGCCACGCCAGCACUAUUCUUACAUCAACGAUACACCUUAUAAAAUACACAAUAAGCCAUUAAUGCAACAACAAGAAGAAUGCUCUGGUAGCAGUAUUAAAGAGGCCUGUUUAUGGCUGCACCUUUGGAAUCAUGGGCACAUGUUAAGCCUAAGGUGAAAAGAACCAAUAAACUUAGCAGAAUGGUUGUCUCCGGCACCGGAAGCAGGAGCACAUGUCAGUCACUCAGGAUGUUUGGCAAAAACAAAUCAGAGCGCUCGUGUAAUACAGUGGCUACAUUGCAUUUGUUGGUCGUGUGCUAACAUGAUCAGCACAUCGUUGGCCACAUAGGAUAAUUGCCCAAGUCAGGGGUCGGCAACAUGCGGCUCCGGAGCCGCAUGCUGCUCUUUAGCGCCAUCUAGUGGCUCCCAGGAGCUUUAUAAAAAUGUUUGAAAAUAGAAAAAGAUGUGGGAGGAAAAUGUAUUUUUUUGUUUUAAAUAAGGUUUCUGUAGGAGUAAAAACAUGACACAAACAUUCUUAACGUUUCUCAAUGCUGUAAAAAUGUGUAGAAUAAAUAUUACUGUUUCAAUGCAAGUGGCUGUUGCAAAAAAAAAAAAUAAUGUUUCAUGUACAAUUCAUCGAGAGUACUGGCAAAGAGAAUCUGGAGGGCCGUGAAAAGCAUUUUUAAAACGGUACACAUGAGCUAUGAUCGUCAAAAACGCUGCAAAGGUGCGUCCCAUGCCUCCGCGUAAGCAGGCAUGCAUCUGUAAGUGUGUUGUGUAUGAGCGGGCCAAUCGCGGUAGGUUGGUUAAACGAAAAGUAGAUCUUCGGUCAAAAGAGGUUGGGCACCCCUGCUCUACAGAAUCAACUGCGCGGGAAAAAAAAGCAUUUAAUCAUGAAGGCUCAUCGUGUAAUUGUAGCAAAUUUAGUCAUUUUGAUAGUAGGCUAAUAUAGCUCAUAUAGAUAUAGAUACUGUACAUGUUGCAGCUCCGAAAAAGACGAGAGCUGUGGUGUUGUUUUUUAAAAAACUUACACUUUAUUUAUGCUUUUAACAGUCUCGACAAACACAAACACAGAGACAUAUGCGUCCGAUUCCGUGCCUUCUCUCCUCUCGUUCGAAUCGAGAGGCGUUCAAAGAUAGCCUCUGAAAAAUGGAAAUUAAUGAUUACUGUACUUCAAUGACACAAAGAAAAACGAAAAUAAUGCGCCAAAACCACAUAAAAAUAAAUUCUAUGGGGGGCGUUUGGAAUGAAUAACAUAAACAAUUCUGAGACAGUCCAGUCUCCUACAUACAUACAGCAUGUGUUUCCUUCAUUAUAUGUUUUAUAGAAGGCUUUUAUGUUUUUUGCGGCUCCAGACUUUUUUUGUUUUAUCCUAUAUGGCUCUUUCAACAUUUUGGGUUGCCGACCCCUGGCCUAAGUCAUAUUUCUAUUUUUUGAGGGGGAAAAAGAAAUUAAAUGAUUGUUUUGUUUUUGGGUGGGGGGGGGGACGACGACCAAAUUGUGUUAUAAUAAUAUUUUUUUCUUGUAUUCCAUAAACAUUGACAUAAGGCUGAGGCAAUUAUUGCACAUGCUCGGUGCAUAUUGCGAGGUCAUUCACAGCUGUGCUGUUGUUCUUGUAUAAAAAAAAUAUUUUGUAUCACGCAACAGGGUUUUUUGUUGUUGUAUGGGGGGCAGGAAAGGGAGAAUGGUGUUAAUGCAUGAAGAUUUUUUCACACUAGGGUGUAUUUUCAACCAUGUAGGUUUCGUUGUAGAGGAGUUUCACUGUAUUGUCACACGCAAUGUGGUUUUAUGCACACGUUUGCAUUUUCAACUUUAGAUCUCAUAUGGGCAAAACGUCUUAAAUGCAGCACGACUUGUGCGUCCACGUGCAGUCCACUGCAUGAGAAAAUCCAAAGGAUGUCUAUUGGGCCAUGCGGUGGUGGUCUAUGCAUUUGUAGUUGCUCUUCCAAACCAAAUGUUCUGUUUACUGAUCCAUGUUUUCUCUCCUUCUGCUCUUCUC